rnacentral:rRNA from 1 species
UACGGAGGGUGCAAGCGUUGCUCGGAAUUAUUGGGCGUAAAGGGUAGGUAGGUGGUCUCGCAUGUCUGGGGUGAAAGCCCUACGCUUAACGUAGGAAUGUCCUCAGAAACCGCGAGACUAGAGUCUUGGAGAGGAUCGUGGAAUUCCCGGUGUAGCGGUGAAAUGCGUAGAGAUCGGGAGGAACACCAGAGGCGAAGGCGACGAUCUGGACAAGUACUGACACUCAACUACGAAAGCGUGGGGAGCAAACAGG